UACGAAGGGUGCAAGCGUUAAUCGGAAUUACUGGGCGUAAAGCGCGCGUAGGUGGUUUUGUAAGUUGAAGGUGAAAUCCCCGGGCUCAACCUGGGAACUGCCUCCAAAACUGCAUGACUAGAGUACGGUAGAGGGUAGUGGAAUUUCCUGUGUAGCGGUGAAAUGCGUAGAUAUAGGAAGGAACACCAGUGGCGAAGGCGACCACCUGGACUGAUACUGACACUGAGGUGCGAAAGCGUGGGGAGCAAACAGG
rnacentral:rRNA from 1 species